ensembl:lncRNA
UGGCACAAGCCAACAUACUGUUAUGCUAUUUAAACUUCUUAUUCUUAUUUUUCUUCUUCUGUUCCUCAAAUUUCCAAACGUAUCUCCUCCUAGGGCUUUAAAGCCACAAGCCCCAAACUCGGCAGAGACCUGGGGCACGGGGUGUAGUUUGUUGCUAUAUCUUUUCAGACUGAUCAGACUUAUAUUUUUUUUAUUAUUAAUUAUUAAAAUCAAAAAUUUCCCAUAGACUUCCAUUGUCUGAGAAAAAUUGCGCCUCUACAGGAGCAAUUCCCGGGACUGAGGGAGGAGUCUGCCU